UACAGAGGUGGCAAGCGUUGUUCGGAAUUACUGGGCGUAAAGGGCGCGUAGGCGGUCCGAUAAGUCCCGUGUGAAAUCCCUCGGCUCAACUGAGGAAUGGCACGGGAAACUGCCGGGCUUGAGUUCGGGAGAGGGAAGCGGAACUCCGGGUGUAGCGGUGAAAUGCGUAGAUAUCCGGAGGAACACCGGUGGCGAAGGCGGCUUCCUGGACCGACACUGACGCUGAGGCGCGAAAGCUAGGGGAGCAAACGGG
rnacentral:rRNA from 1 species